rnacentral:rRNA from 1 species
ACGAUUGACGGAGCGAAGCGACGUCAAAGCGUUCAUUAAAGUCGAGUUGGCUUAGGGAUACGUUCGUUGGGUAGGGGAGCGUUCUGUAAGCCUGUGAAGGUGGCCUGUGAGGGUUGCUGGAGGUAUCAGAAGUGCGAAUGCUGACAUAAGUAACGAUAAAGCGGGUGAAAAGCCCGCUCGCCGGAAGACCAAGGGUUCCUGUCCAACGUUAAUCGGGGCAGGGUGAGUCGACCCCUAAGGCGAGGCCGAAAGGCGUAGUCGAUGGGAAACGGGUUAAUAUUCCCGUACUUGGUGUUACUGCGAAGGGGGGACGGAGAAGGCUAUGUUGGCCGGGCGACGGUUGUCCCGGUUUAAGCGUGUAGGUGUGUGUUCCAGGUAAAUCCGGUUCACUUUAACACUGAGGCGUGACGACGAGGCACUACGGUGCUGAAGCAACAAAUGCCCUGCUUCCAGGAAAAGCCUCUAAGCAUCAGGUAACAUCAAAUCGUACCCCAAACCGACACAGGUGGUCAGGUAGAGAAUACCAAGGCGCUUGAGAGAACUCGGGUGAAGGAACUAGGCAAAAUGGUGCCGUAACUUCGGGAGAAGGCACGCUGACACGUAGGUGAAGUGAUUUACUCAUGGAGCUGAAGUCAGUCGAAGAUACCAGCUGGCUGCAACUGUUUAUUAAAAACACAGCACUGUGCAAACACGAAAGUGGACGUAUACGGU